CCUACGGGAGGCAGCAGUGAGGAAUAUUGGUCAAUGGACGAGAGUCUGAACCAGCCAAGUAGCGUGAAGGAUGACUGCCCUAUGGGUUGUACACUUCUUUUAUAUGGGAAUAAAAUGUUCCACGUGUGGGAUUUUGUAUGUACCAUAUGAAUAAGGAUCGGCUACCUCCGUGCCAGAAGCCGCGGUAAUACGGAGGAUCCGAGCGUUAUCCGGAUUUUUUGGGGUUAAAGGGAGCGUAGGUGGAUUGGUAAGUCAGUUGUGAAAGUUUGCGGCUCAACCGUAAAAUUGCAGUUGAAACUGGCAGUCUUGAGUACAGUAGAGGUGGGCGGAAUUCGUGGUGCAGCUGUGAAAUGCUUAGAUAUCACGAAGAACUCCGAUUGCGAAGGCAGCUCACUGGACUGCAACUGACACUGAGGCUCGAAAGUGUGGGUAUCAAACAGGAUUAGAUACCCUAGUAGUC
rnacentral:rRNA from 1 species